rnacentral:rRNA from 1 species
UACAGAGGUCCCAAGCGUUGUUCGGAUUCAUUGGGCGUAAAGGGUGCGUAGGUGGCGCGCUAAGUCAGGUGUGAAAUUUCGGAGCUUAACUCCGAAACUGCAUUUGAUACUGCGGUGCUUGAGGACUGGAGAGGAGACUGGAAUUUACGGUGUAGCAGUGAAAUGCGUAGAGAUCGUAAGGAAGACCAGUGGCGAAGGCGGGUCUCUGGACAGUUCCUGACACUGAGGCACGAAGGCCAGGGGAGCAAACGGG